GCUUACGGCCAUACCACCCUGAACACGCCCGAUCUCGUCCGAUCUCGGAAGCUAAGCAGGGUCGGGCCUGGUUAGUACUUGGAUGGGAGACCGCCUGGGAAUACCAGGCUGUAAGCU
rnacentral:rRNA from 1 species